GAAAAGGAGAAACGGUCCAAAAACAAAGAAAUGCCUGAACCCCCACAAAGUUAAACUGCCACUGGGGAAGAGCCUCUUUCAACAGACCCUGCAGACUGGCUAUCACCUCUGACAGACUGCAGCACAGAGGCUAUUCGCCCAGGGCCCAGGGCCGCCAUUGUCUCUGUGCACAGAGGGCACGAAGAGAACAAAAGUUCAGGAGGAAUCAUGGACAGAGGUGUUGCAGCAACCAGCAAUCAGGAACCUGAUGAGGAGCCUCAGACAGCAGUAGCACAGCAGCACGACUCUUCUGACUGCAGCCAUCCAGCAAGCAGUAUGUGAGGAGCAAGCACAAGUGUCCCAUUUGUGGGGAACUGUAUAUAGUCCAACACCUGAGAAGCAUAGAAGAGGUGGUCAACAAAACAGAGUUGAGUCUUCUGAGCAAGUUUUCUCACAGACAGUAUAGCUGAUCUGGCAGUUGCAGGAUCUUGAUGUAUUACGAUCCCUUAACCUAAUACUCAGUAUAGUAACCAGCUGUCCUUAUCAUUGUCACCACUAUCACUGUCAUUACAAACUGUUUCUUUAGUCAUAUGAUCUGUUAUUGCUGAUAUUAUAGUGAAGUACUGCUGUAAUUAUGGCUGCAACGUGUUUCUCUCUCACUCUCUUUCAUCCUGUCUACCUCUUCUUCUCCUUCUUUACCCGGCCAACUAUCAGCAGGGUGGUUCUCCCUUGUGAGUCGGGUCCUGCUCAAGGCUUCUUCCUGUUAAAAGGGAGUGUUUCCUUGCUACUGUCUGCUUGCUCGGGGGUUCAGGCUCUGGGUUCUGUAAAGCAUCUAGAGACAAUUUUGAUUGUAAAAGGUGCUGUAUAAAUAAAAUCGAAUUGAAUUGAACAGUCUGACAGUGUCUACACAGAGAAGUUAACAGUAUAAGCACCUGCUCCUGGUGCAGAGUGUGGUUCUGCUGCGUUUUUUUUUUCUGUCUAUCAUUGCCUAGUCUUUGCUCAUUGUAAGAUCUGUUGGUUUUCCGAGAGUACCGAGAACUCAUACAGGGAUUUGUGGACUGGUGCCAGGGGAACCGACUCCAGAUCAAUGUUGGUAAAACCAAGGAGCUGGUGGUGGACUUUAUCAGGUGCCAACACCCCCCAUCCGCACCGGUGAGCAUCCAGGGAAUAGACAUUGUGAGAGUCACCUCCUACAAGUACCUGGGUGUUCACUUCAACAGCAAACUGGACUGGACUGACAACAUAGACUCUUCCUGUACAAAAAGGGCCAGAGCAGACUCUUCCUGCUCAGGAGGUUGAGGGCCUUUGGAAUACAGGGUCCACUUCUCAAGAGUUUCUAUGACUCUGUGGUGGCAUCAGCCAUCUUUAUGGUGAGGUCUUUUGGGCAGGCAGCAUCUCUGCCUGGCACAAAAAGAGGCUGGACAAACUGGUGAGGAGGGCUGGCUCAGUCCUGGGCUGCUCCCUGAAUUCAGUGGACGAGGUGGGUGACAGGAGUAUGUUAGCCAAGCUUUCAUCCAUGCUGGAGACCCACUCCCACCUCCUGCAGGACAUCCUGACAGCACUGGGCAGCUCCUUCAGUGAAAGACUGCACACCCGCGCAUUGUGCUGUCAGACUCCACAACAAGCACAGUUGAUAGACUGGACAUUUUAAGCUGAUGAAUGUGUUAACUGGACAAUAAUGGGACAAAAUGGUCACACCAGGCCUGUGGAAUAAUACAUGUGUAAUAGUAAUUGAGCAGUAAUCUUACUCAUGUAAAACACUACUGCAAUGAUCAGUAU